rnacentral:rRNA from 1 species
CCUACGGGUGGCAGCAGUGGGGAAUAUUGCGCAAUGGGCGAAAGCCUGACGCAGCGACGCCGCGUGAGGGAUGAAGGUCUUCGGAUCGUAAACCUCCGUCAGCAGGGAAGAACGGUCACUGUGCUAAUCAGCAGUGAAUUGACGGUACCUGCAAAGGACGCACCGGCUAACUCCGUGCCAGCAGCCGCGGUAAUACGGGGGGUGCGAGCGUUAAUCGGAAUUACUGGGCGGAAAGCGCUCGUAGGCGGUAUGUCAAGUCAAGGGUGAAAUCCCCGGGCUCAACGUGGGAACUGCCUUUGAAACUGGCAAACUGGAGUGUGUGAGAGGAUAGUGGAAGUCGAGGUGUAGGAGUGAAAUGCGUAGAUAUCUGGAGGAACAUCAGUGGCGAAGGCGACAAACUGGCACAUAACUGACGCUGAGGAGCGAAAGCGUGGGUAGCAAACAGGAUUAGAUACCCUUGUAGUC